CUGAGGAUGGCCACUUCUUGCUCCUGCCGGGCAGGGCUCCUGGUGCAGGUUCCACUGACAUCACAGCAGGGGCAGCCUCAUGACCGGCCUGUGUGGAUGAGACCCCUGAAUUCCUGCUUGGCCUUCUGUGACACCGUCCCUCAUUACAGCCUUGCGAGGGUAAAUUCAACUGGAAGGGAACUAUUAAAGCAAUUCUGAAACAGGCCCCAGACAAUGAAAUAACCAUCAAAAAGCUAAGGAAAAAGGUUUUAGCUCAGUACUACACAGUGACAGAUGAGCAUCACAGAUCCGAAGAGGAACUCCUGGUCAUCUUUAACAAGAAAAUCAGCAAGAACCCUACCUUUAAGUUAUUAAAGGACAAAGUCAAGCUUGUGAAAUGAACAUUUGUGUAUUUAAAAAUUGAAUCCAUUCUGCUGACUUCUUCCUUUCACUGCUGUUUAUAAAAUGUGUAAUGAAUUCUAACAACUCAAAUUUUGCUUUUUGAAGCUGUAUUUUUAAGUUAAGAAAAUAUAUUUUUGGUAUAACUUUUAUGAGAAAAAUAAAAUAUAUUCUGGUCCAAACUUCU
rnacentral:lncRNA from 10 species